AUGCUAUAGUUUAUUUUUUCAAGAAGAGUAGUUUUUUUCAAUCACAGUAAAAGAACCCGUGUACCAUAAGCGAGUACACGACAUUUAUAUUAUUAUUAUUAUUUGUCGCUUAAGCGAAUAAUUUCAUAUACAUCUUUACAUCUCAACUCUAAAAAUAAAGCUGACAAUGAAAGUGAGAGAGAGUGUUAAAACAGCUUCUGCAACUGAUGAAAUUUACAAGCCGGAAUUGUUUGCGUACCAAAAAAUGCAAUCGUUUCUUCUUUCCGUGUAUACGCCAAGGAGUACCAAAACAUCUGAGAAGGAUAUUGAUGAGGAAACACCAUCUAGCCACACUCAUCAAUUCCUAGCUCAUCUCAGCACAUCUCAGGAUGAGGAAUUCUCAUCAGGGAAUGGUGCUGUUCAAGGUGGGCCGCCAAAAAGAGAAAAGCAGAGAAAGCAGCUAACAUCGAAAAACGGAUGGACCAGGCUUUUCACUUUUUGAAGGAAGUUGCUGCAAA